rnacentral:rRNA from 1 species
UACGAGGUCGACAGCGUUGUUCGGAUUCACUGGGCGUAAAGGGUGCGUAGGCGGUCGGGUAAGUCUGAUGUGAAAUCUCACAGCUUAACUGUGAAACUGCAUUGGAAUACUAUUCGGCUUGAGAGUUGGAGGGGGGACUGGAAGUUCUUGGUGUAGCAGUGAAAUGCGUAGAUAUCAAGAGGAACACCAGUGGCGAAGGCGAGUCCCUGGACAACUUCUGACGCUGAGGCACGAAAGCUAGGGGAGCAAACAGG